GGUAUCGCCCAUCACUAUCGAUCACACCGCCAUAUUUUUGAAAUGCAGUGAAUUUUCAUCUGCUCGAUCGAAAGAUUUAUAGUAUUUUACUGGAAGAUGGUAUAUUUUAGCGAAGAUGGAACAUUAGGGAUGACUGAGUAACUUCCAGGUAAGAAUAUUGUUUUGUUUUCUAUAUAACAGAGUAAUUUUGAAAGGAAAUAUUUACUAUCUUUAUUCGUGAAUUUUGAGCAUGUGUUCCGUCUUAAAAUUUGAAUUCGCUGCGACAAUAUAAAUACAGUAGUUUUUAUACAAAGGCUUACAUUUGACUUAGCCUUUAUAUCAAAUUAUGUUUGUUGUAAUGCUAAAUAGACUAGUUGUGUAUAUGACGGAUUGCCAGAUCAAGUGUUCCAUGUAUAAAAUAAUAUAGCUUGGCAUCUACUUGAUCUUCUCGAUUCUCAUAUGCCUACCUAGGUAUGUCCUAGGUAAACAUGGUUUGAGAGAAUUUAUCGAUUUGUUUCCAAUUAACUGGUACUUUCAUAAGUUUCUAUUAAUAUUUAUUCAUAUAUAGGUGGGUCAGUUUAGAUAAAAGUUGUCAAUUUGAUGGGUUGUGUGGCAACUUUCAAACUUUAUAUGAAUUCAUUUAGUUUUAUAUGCUUGUUUGAUGUUAUGGUGUUACUCCGAGUGUAUAUCCACACCGGGCAGGCAUAUUUUCCACCGUGGCCAGGUGGUGUAUAUAUAUAUACACUCAGAGUAACAUCACACUUGUAAGCAUCUUAUUCACCUGAGUACAUUACACCAACACAGCAAAUGAUUAUAAAAGAUUACACUGAUAUCGAAGGGACUAGAGUCAGUUCCGAAAUAUAGCAUACUCGAACUGACCUGACCGCGUAGCUCAGUUGGAAGAGCAUUGGGCUAGUACUCAAAAGGUCGUAGGUUCGAAUCCCACCGUGGCCAGGUAUAUUUUUCAAGCCUGCCUGGUGAGGAUAUACAAUCAGAGUAACAUCACACAAGCAUCUUAUUCACCUGAGUACAUUACACCAACACAGCAAAUAACAUUUAUUUAUGCCACCUGCAUGAUCAGAUGAUCUGUUUAAUAAUAUAUGUAACAACCUUUGGGCUACAUUUUAUAUAUUUGAGAUAUACACCCCAGCAAGGAUUUGAUGGUUUUUGGAAUUAUUACCCAUUGCACUGAUUCACUCCAAUGAGCCCAAUUUUCAGCACUUUGUUAAAUGUUAUCUUGCCUAAUGCCGGACAAUUUUAUUUGUCAAGGGAACUGUCUAGCUAGACUCUGCCCAUGUUUCAUGUUGAUAUAUUUAGAUACAAUUUUCCCUAACACUACCUACUGUAAGUGAUAUUCAACUCUGACAUGUCAUGCUAGACAAUUUUAUUAUCGACUGUGGACUACUUGCCCAUAUUUCACCUAUUAACACCUAACGAGCAAUUUCUUCUUAUGUUACAUACUUUAAGUUCUUUGUAGGGGUGUGCAGGGUAGAGUCUUUUUGCCCUCCAGCCAGAUAUGUUGGAUAGUUGAGGAUAUGUUGGAUAGUUGAAAAAUAUCCCUGGAGCCAGAUUCAGGGUAUUAUUCAAGUAUAUAAGGUUCAGGCCUCACUUAAUGUUAAUUUAAGUAAUCAUUUUAAUUGGUUAAAAAGUUAUGGUGUUUAUAAAAUUUUGAUUUGAAAUAAUAGGAAAGAACUUCACAGUCUAGCACUAGUAAACAUGCAUCAUUGGUAGCAAAAGCCUCACUUGCAUUAGUUUAAUGGUCAAAUCUGCAUUUACAAACAAGCAUAUAAAAUCUUGAAAGUAGUGUUUACAAGCAUUCCUGUUAUCAAUCAUUGAAUAAAAAUAUGAUAACCACCCCUGCUUUUUUAGCCUAAUCAAAUCAUCUAACCUAAUCAAAUCAUCUAACCUGCAGUAACUGUAAAUCUUGAAGGCCUGAACCUUAUGUAAAUAAUACCCAGUAUUGGGUGGCCAUGUAACACAAAAUGAACUAAAAUCUCAAUAUCUGGCCAGAUAUGAUAUCCACUGCAUCCCUAGUUAGUUGUUAUGUUUCAUUGUCUUGAAAUGCCGAACGACUUUAUUGUUAAGGGGAGAGUGUUGGUAUGACUGUACAGUAUAUUCGUAUUCAACAUACUUAUUUAAUAUAUGCACCAUUUGUACCCUUUUAUAGUUAACCCUCAGAUGUGUAAUGGCUUCCCUUCCACAUGCCCUGGGAGACCGACAGACCUACCAAAACAAGACAGGCAACCAAGGAGACUGGCAGACCCACCAAAACAAGACAGGCAAGCAUGUAAGUUUACUGAUAUUUUUCUUUGUGAUAUAAGUUAACACAUUGCGCCCUGAUGUGCCCUGCUUUAUUAUUUUACUCUGUCUAUCGCCAGAUGAUUUACUCAUCAAGGGCAGAGCUCUGGUGCUUAAUGGAUUAACUGGCCUAUCUGCCCAUGUGUCUAGUUAAUCCAUUGAGUUGCAUUGCACCGAUGUGCCUUGCUUUAUUAUUUUACUCUGUCUACUGCCAGACAAUUUACUCAUCAAGGGGAGAGCUCUGGCAUUUAAUAGGUACAGUAACUUAACUGGCCAUAUGUCUAAUAAUCUAGUUAAUCCAUUCAGUUGCAUUGUGCCAAUGCGCCCUGCUUUAAGUAUUAUUUUACUCUGUCUAACGAUUUAGUCGUAUGACAUGUGGACAGUGACUGACUGAAACAGUACAGGCUUGACUGCAGUCACUGACAAGAAGAAAAUUCAGAUCUCACAAUGUAUAUUAAUUUUACUGUAUAAACCAUAUAAUAUAAACCAUAUAAUUUCUAAACCAUUUAUAUAUUUCAUUUAUAUAUUUCUAAACCAUAUAUAUUUCUAAACCAUUUAUAAACCAUAUAAUUUCUUUUAUUAGUCCAUGCUGACAGCAAAUGCCUUAACUGAGGUGGAUAGGCACAAGAAUUUUUCAAAAUUAACUAAGAAUGCAAGAAAAAGAUUCAAUGUGAACUGGAGAAGCAGGAGAACUGUUAAGAGAACACAAACAUACAGUAUUUGUUUUUAAUAUUUUAGUAAUGAUAUUAUAUGCAUUUCUUAAUUUUAAUCUUUGGUCUUGUCCCUGCACGGUGUUACUGGUAACCCACCCCUGAUUUUUUAUUUCUGCAUGCUUUUAGUUGAGUAAUGCAUAUACAGGGUGCAUAAAAAAUGUCCCAAAUGGAUAAUUUCCUCAAAAUCACACAAAAUUUGGGAUAUUUUUUGUAACCGAGAGUAAAUAUACUGUAUGUAUAUUGUA